UUGCCCGUUUCAGCAGCACAUAUACUAAAAUUGGAAUGGUACAGAGAAGAUUAGCAUGGCCCUUGUGUAAGGAUGACAUGGAAAUUCAUAAAGCAUUUUAUAUUUUU